rnacentral:misc_RNA from 1 species
GCUACUACCGAUUGAAUGGUUUAGUGAGGACUCCUGAUUGGCGCCGCCGCCCCGGCAACGGAGCAGCGGACUGCCGAAAGGUUGUUCAAACUUGAUCAUUUAGAGGAAGUAAAAGUCGUAACAAGGUUUCCGUAGGUGAACCUGCAGAAGGACA